rnacentral:rRNA from 1 species
GACGAACGCUGGCGGCGUGCUUAACACAUGCAAGUCGAACGGAAAGGCCCUGCUUUUGUGGGGUGCGCGAGUGGCGAACGGGUGAGUAACACGUGAGUAACCUGCCCUUGACUUUGGGAUAACUUCAUGAAACUGGGGCUAAUACCGGAUAGGAGCUCCUGCUGCAGGGUGGGGGUUGGAAAGUUUCGGCGGUUGGGGAUGGACUCGCGGCUUAUCAGCUUGUUGGUGGGGUAGUGGCUUACCAAGGCUUUGACGGGUAGCCGGCCUGAGAGGGUGACCGGCCACAUUGGGACUGAGAUACGGCCCAGACUCCUACGGGAGGCAGCAGUGGGGAAUAUUGCACAAUGGGCGGAAGCCUGAUGCAGCAACGCCGCGUGCGGGAUGACGGCCUUCGGGUUGUAAACCGCUUUCGCCUGUGACGAAGCGUGAGUGACGGUAAUGGGUAAAGAAGCACCGGCUAACUACGUG